UCCAUUCUAUUCUUCAUCAUUAUCAUGCUCCAAGAUUUCGUCUGAGGAUACCUCUUGAUGUUUUUCUUCAGCUAGUUCUUCUUGGGUAACAUUAUCUUGAAUUGGUUCCUCAACCUCAUUUCUUUACCACUACUUUCGCCAUUUCUUUUAUUGGCAUAAAAAUUCUUAACUUUUUCACGAGCAAUGUUUAAUUCUUCAUUUUCUCUCCCUAAAUGGUACCCUGGAUCAGCCUAUAUCUCAAUCUCCUCAUAUUCAUCAACACUCUCAC
rnacentral:lncRNA from 1 species